rnacentral:lncRNA from 1 species
GAGUUUUGAGUGAAAUCCAGUGGCUAAAACUACGCAAUACACCAACCACUUCAUUUUAGAACGAACUUCGUACGAACUGGAAUUGUGCAAUUUCAUGGACCAGUCGAUAUCAGAUUGAGCCCAAAACUUGGGAAACACCAUAAUGUGGUGGGAAGAGUCAUUUGGUCAGUUUUGAGUGAAAUCCAAUGGCCAAAACUAUGCAAAACCGCAACCACUUCAUUUCAGAUUGAACUACAUACGAACCUGAAUUGUGCAAUUUCAU